rnacentral:rRNA from 1 species
UACGUAGGGUGCAAGCGUUGUCCGGAAUUAUUGGGCGUAAAGAGCUCGUAGGCGGUCUGUCGCGUCGGCUGUGAAAACCCGCGGCUCAACCUCGGGCCUGCAGUCGAUACGGGCAGACUAGAGUGCGGUAGGGGAGACUGGAAUUCCUGGUGUAGCGGUGAAAUGCGCAGAUAUCAGGAGGAACACCGGUGGCGAAGGCGGGUCUCUGGGCCGAUACUGACGCUGAGGAGCGAAAGCGUGGGGAGCGAACAGG